rnacentral:rRNA from 1 species
CCUACGGGUGGCAGCAGUGGGGAAUAUUGGACAAUGGGGGCAACCCUGAUCCAGCCAUGCCGCGUGUGUGAAGAAGGCCCUCGGGUUGUAAAGCACUUUCAGUGAGGAAGAACGCCUGGUGGUUAAUACCCAUCAGGAAAGACAUCACUCACAGAAGAAGCACCGGCUAACUCCGUGCCAGCAGCCGCGGUAAUACGGAGGGUGCGAGCGUUAAUCGGAAUUACUGGGCGUAAAGCGCGCGUAGGUGGCUUGAUAGGCCGGUUGUGAAAGCCCCGGGCUCAACCUGGGAACGGCAUCCGGAACUGUCAAGCUAGAGUGCAGGAGAGGAAGGUAGAAUUCCCGGUGUAGCGGUGAAAUGCGUAGAGAUCGGGAGGAAUACCAGUGGCGAAGGCGGCCUUCUGGACUGACACUGACACUGAGGUGCGAAAGCGUGGGUAGCAAACAGGAUUAGAUACCCCGGUAGUC